rnacentral:tRNA from 1 species
GGAUUGUGGCUCAGCGAUAGAGUGCUCCCCUAGCAUGGGCAGGACCUGGGUUCGAUCCUCAGCUCCA